AGAGUUUGAUCCUGGCUCAGAACGAACGCUGGCGGCGUGUUUAAGACAUGCAAGUCGCACGGGAUUGAUUGUGUAGCAAUACAAGAUCAGUCCAGUGGCGCACGGGUGAGUAACACGUGAAUUACAUGCCCUUCAGUGGGGAAUAGCCCAGGGAAACUUGGAUUAAUACCCCAUGGUAUCGCAAGAUUAAAGGUGGCCGCAAGGCUGUCGCUGAAGGAUUGGUUCGCGCCCUAUCAGCUUGUUGGUGAGGUAACGGCUCACCAAGGCUACGACGGGUACCUGGUCUGAGAGGACGAUCAGGCACACUGGAACUGAGACACGGUCCAGACACCUACGGGUGGCAGCAGUCGAGAAUAAUUCACAAUGGGGGCAACCCUGAUGGUGCAACGCCGCGUGGAGGAUGACGGUCUUCGGAUUGUAAACUCCUGUCAUCUGGGAGUAAGACCUGGUCGUUAAUAGCGAACAGGGUUGAUAGUACCAGAAGAGGAAGGGACGGCUAACUUCGUGCCAGCAGCCGCGGUAAUACGAAGGUCCCGAGCGUUGUUCGGAAUCACUGGGCGUAAAGGGAGCGUAGCGGCGCGGUAAGUCAGAUGUGAAAUCCCGGGGCUCAACCCCGGAACUGCAUCCGAUACUGCCGUGCUCGAGCAUUGGAGAGGUAGCUGGAAUUCUUGGUGUAGCAGUGAAAUGCGUAGAGAUCAAGAGGAACACUCGUGGCGAAAGCGAGCUACUGGACAAUUGCUGACGCUGAGGCUCGAAGGCUAGGGUAGCGAAAGGGAUUAAAUACCCCUGUAGUCCUAGCAGUAAACGGUGCACGCUUGGUGUGAGGGGAAUCGACCCCCCUUGUGCCGGAGCUAACGCGUUAAGCGUGCCGUCUGGGAAGUACGGUCGCAAGACUAAAAGCUCAAAGAAAUUGACGGGGGACCCGCACAAGCGGCGGAGUAUGUGGCUUAAUUCGAUGCAACGCGAAGAACCUUACCAAGGCCUUGACAUGCAUCUCUAAACACGUGAAAGACGUGUGACCCCUUCGGGGGAAUUUGCACAGGUGCUGCAUGGCCGUCGUCAGCUCGUGUCGUGAGAUGUUGGGUUAAGUCCCGCAACGAGCGCAACCCUUGUCAUUAGUCGCUGCGAAAGGGCAUUGUAAUGAGACUGCCGUUGACAAACCGGAGGAAGGUGGGGAUGACGUCAAGUCCUCAUGGCCCUUAUAGGUGGGGUUACACACGUCAUACAAUGGCCGGUACAAAGGGUCGCAAACCCGCGAGGGGGAGCUAAUCCAUCAAAGCCGGUCGUAGUCCGGAUCGCAGUCUGCAACUCGACUGCGUGAAGUCGGAAUCGCUAGUAAUCGUGGAUCAGCAUGUCACGGUGAAUACGUUCCCGGGUCUUGUACACACCGCCCGUCACACCAUGGGAGCGGGUCUCGCCAGAAGUAGUUAGCCUAACCGCAAGGAGGGCGAUUACCACGGCGGGGUUCGUGACUGGGGUGAAGUCGUAACAAGGUAACCGUA
rnacentral:rRNA from 1 species